GACGAACGCUGGCGGCGUGCCUAACACAUGCAAGUCGAGCGGGGAUUUAAGUGGAAGUUCUUCGGAAUGGAGAUUUAAAUUCUAGCGGCGGACGGGUGAGUAACGCGUGAACAAUCUGUCCCGGACAGGGGGAUAACACUUGGAAACAGGUGCUAAUACCGCAUAAGACCACGGCCUCGCAUGGGGCUGAGGUAAAAGGAGCAAUCCGGUUCGGGGUGAGUUCGCGUCCGAUUAGCUAGUUGGUGAGGUAACGGCCCACCAAGGCGACGAUCGGUAGCCGGCCUGAGAGGGUGAACGGCCACAUUGGAACUGAGAGACGGUCCAACCUGCUACGGGAGGCAGCAGUGGGGAAUAUUGGGCAAUGGGCGAAAGCCUGACCCAGCAACGCCGCGUGAGGGAAGAAGGUUUUCGGAUUGUAAACCUCUGUCCUAUGGGACGAAGGAAGUGACGGUACCAUAGGAGGAAGCCCCGGCUAACUACGUG
rnacentral:rRNA from 1 species